AUGUCCACUACUUUCACUGAUAAAUUUUCAGGACAUUGUCUGAAAAACAACUGUUAUUAUACAAUAUUGUUAAUUUUCCGGUCUUUGAUUAUGCUAAUAAUGCUUAAAAUUCUCCAAGCCAGACUUCAGCAAUAUGUGAACCAUCAACUUCCAGAUAUUCAAGCCAGUUUUAGAAAAGGCAGAGGAGCCAGAGGUCAAAUUGCCAACAUCUGCUGGAUCAUCGAGAAAGCAAGAGAGUUCCAGAAAAACAUCUAUUUCUGCUAUAUUGACUAUGCCAAAGCCUUGGACUGUAUGGAUCACAAUAAACUGUGGAAAAUUCUGAAAGAGAUGGGAGUAUCAGACCACCUGACCUGCCUCUUGAGAAACCUGUAUGCAGGUCAGGAACUAACAGUUAGAACUGGACAUGCAACAAUGGAUUGGUUCCAAAUAGGAAAAGGAGUACAUCAAGGCUGUAUAUUGUCACCCUUCUUAUUUAACUUAUGUGCAGAGUACAUCAUGCAAAAUACCAGGCUAGAUGAAGCACAGACUGGAGUCAAGACUGCUGGGAGAAAUAUCAAUAACCUCAGAUAUGCAGAUGACACCACCCUUAUGGCAGAAAGUGAAGAAGAACUAAAGAGCUUCUUGAUGAAAGUGAAAGAGGAGAGUGAAAAAGUUGGCUUAAAGCUCAACAUUCAGAAAACUAAGAUCAUGGCAUCCAAUACCAUCACUUCAUGGGCAAUAGAUGGGGAAACAGUGGAAACUGUGGCUGACUUUAUUUUUCUGGGCUCCAAAAUCACUGCAGAUGGUGAUUGCAGCCAUGAAAUUAAAAGAUACUUACUCCUUGGAAGGAAAGUUACAGCCAACCUAGAUAGCAUAUUGAAAAGCAGAGAUAUUACUUUGCCAACGAAGGCCCAUCUAGUCAAGGCUAUGGUUUUUCCAGUAGUCAUGUAUGGAUGUGAGAGUUGGACUGUGAAGAAAGCUGAGCGCCAAAGAAUUUAUGCUUUUGAAGUGUGGUGUUGGAGAAGACUCUUGAGAGUCCCUUGGACUGCAAGGAGAUCCAACCAGUCCAUUCUGAAGGAGAUCAUCAGGAUUUCUUUGGAGGGAAUGAUGCUGAAGCUGAAACUCAGUACUUUGGCCACCUGA
rnacentral:lncRNA from 1 species